ensembl:misc_RNA 7SK 7SK RNA
GGAUGAGAGGAGGCAUCUGUCACCCUGUUGAUUUGUCUGAUCUGUCUAACACAGAUGUCCCCUACCUCCCUCACCACUCCAUGGAGUCUCCAGUCUGCAAGGAGGAGUACCUCCCUCAUAGAGGAGCACCAGUGCUUCCCUUAAGGUUAUAGGAGUUAUCACACUCCCCUUUUAGAACCUCCAAACAAGCUUUCAAAGCCCAUUUCUAAAAGACCAUACAUCAGUCAAUUUUAAAAACAUACACUUCAAAAAAUUUAAAGAACUUU